CCAUCUACAGAUACACCUGAAACAGGCAGCUGAGCAAGGCUGACCAGAUGCCCACCAGAUCCCUCUUCCACACUGCCUGGUGUCGUGCAGAUGGUGCAUCUCCCCCACUUCAUUCACCUCGCAGGUACAGCAGCCACGGGAUUGGGAGUGGGAGUUCCAAUCCACCAUCUUUCAGCCUGUCAACCUCCCAGGACCCCUCCAGCUCCUUGGAGACCUCUCUCCAGACAGGUCCAAAUUCUCCCUUUCCUCCAAAGUCCCCUGCUCUUCCGUGUGUUCCUCUGCUUUUCUUUAGCAUCCUUCAUCCUUCUCUCACUUCCGAAGCUCCAGCUCCACACCACCAGCCUCUCCUUGCCCGCACACUCCUCCCAGCUACUAUGGUUACCUCUGGACACUAUCACAGUCCAGCAGGUCAGACCUGGGUUCGCUGGGAGAGUUUCCAGCCCUUUUCUCCUCUGACAGCUGUGGAUGGCAAUGGCUGUCCCUGCUCUGCUCCACCAGGACAGGACCUGGCCAGCUGUGCCCACCACCUGAACCACUCUGGGGUGGAAUGCAAGAGGUCAGAGCUAGCUUAUUCUAUUAUAUCUGAUUAUAUUAGCCUGCCAGGUUAAUAGCAAAGUGUGCUCCAGAGAUAACCCAGGAGACUGGUCAUCAGCAGAGCCUCUGACCCAGUCAUCCCUAGGGAUGUCAUCUCUGGAUGUGAUCAAACACCAGGGGGACUCACACAGUACCCACCUGCAUCCCAGUAUGUGGUGUGUGAGCUUUGCAAGCAGGACACUGCAUGGUGAAGUCUGGUAAUUUUCAUGGUCUCAUGUUGCCACCUUCAGAUCUGCCAGCUUCUGAGCCCUCAGGAAGGCUGCCAAAGGUCUGCAAUGCCCUCUGAACCCAAGACACACAUGGCACCUAAAGCAGAACAUUUCACUGUGUAUGGACAUGUUCCCUUUCUGCUGCUAAAGCCCCAAAGAGAAGGGGCAGCCUGAUAUAAACUUAUAAAAACCUUGUUGCCUGUUUGUCUUGCAGAAGAUACACACCAGCCCAUAUUCUACAGACCACUUUAAAUCUGGGAAGAUGACCGUGGAGAGGCUACCCUGACUGACAGCUUGCUUUGGGGUCCUGGAGAAUCCACCUUCUCACUGCCCAGGGUGCUUUGGAGAAGGUUAUGUUCAACCUUAAAUUCACUCCCUAUGAGCUUCUUGGUGGUGCAAUUCCAGCUUUUCACCUCUACGUGAUCCCAGGUGACAACUCAGUGGAAAUAAGACAGAAGCCCUGACACAGGGUGCCCAGAAAAGCUGUGUCUACCCCAUCCCUGGAAGUAUCCAAGGCCAGGUCAGAUGGCACUUGGAGCCACCUGGCCUAGUGGAAGAUAUCACAGCUGAUGGCAGGGGUGUGGACUAGAUGACCUUUAAAAGUCCUUUCCAACACAAACCAUUCUAUGAUUCUGUGAUUUCUUUUGCUGCUGAAGGACAGUCAGGUUUACCAGCACCCAAAUCCUGACCUUUUAAUCCAGAAUCCACAGUGCAAAGCAGCAAUAAGUCCUCUGAACCAUCCAGUCUCAGCCCUGCCCUGCAUGGCUGACUCAGAUGCCAGCAGAGGACAGCCAGUGUCACACCUGCUGAGAAGUUACUAGAAGAAGAGACCUUGGUUCACAAUCCAGUGCUGAUUGAUGCCUUA
ensembl:lncRNA